rnacentral:lncRNA from 1 species
UUUCACCCAUUUCACUAGACCAGUGGUUCUCACACUUUAGAGUGCCUCAGAGUCACCUACAGGGCUUGUUAAACCACAGAUUGCAGGGGUACCUAAGCCCAGAAUUUCUGAUUUGGUAGGUCUGGAGUAGGUCCUGAUAAUCUGCUUUUCUAACAGGUUGUCGGGUGAUGCUGAUUGUGCUAGUCCUAGGAACAUCUUAAUAACUACGUCGCCUUAUUAAGCCUUGGAUAAAGAAGACCACUUCAUGGUACCAUCAGAUGGAGGCCCCUGACCUGAGGAAACCCUACUUCACCAUCGGCAGAACCAGCCCCCAAUAUUUCAAUUUUAUUUUUGACCAGAUAAUGAAUGAAUAUGGUUCAAAAUUCAGAAAGUGAAAAAGGAUGUAUAAAAAGAUAUUUGAGACAUAAAAGCAAUGUGGGUUGGGAAAAAGAACGUAUACCUUUCCCCCAUUUUUGUACCAAUGAUACCAGAUGUCAAGGAAACGUAUUUGAAGGAGAGCCCUCAACAUUUCGAAAAGUUUGGCUGACAGCUUUGGACUAAGAAGAAUGAAGUGGUGAUUCCCAGCAAAUUGUGAAUCCUAAGGGAAGAAGGAUGGAGUCAUAGUACAUUUCAGAAGAGCUCUAUGUGGUCUGGGCUGCAAAUGAAAAGAGAACACAGAGUCCCCAACGACCAUAAGAACCUUUAAGAUUUCCACUACGGUUUCCUGAAGAUAUGAACAUUUGAGUCACUGGAAAGUAACACAUCUCUCUGAAGAUCAGUGAAGUGGCUUUCUGGUUUAUAUAUCAGCCUCCUCACCACAUGGUGAAGAGAGGUGCCAUUAGUGACUGCCCUUCAAAGAUGCCAAUAUCCAGACACCCAAGGCCAGCAAUACUUCCUGCCCUUACAAUUGGUGAGAUUUUCCAGUA